rnacentral:tRNA from 1 species
UCCCCGGUAGCUCAACCGGCAGAGCGGGUGGCUGUUAACCACUAGGUUGGCGGUUCGAGUCCGUCCCGGGGAG